rnacentral:rRNA from 1 species
ACGUUGUGAGAAGUUCAUUAAACCUUAUCAUUUAGAGGAAGGAGAAGUCGUAACAAGGUUUCCGUAGGUGAACCUGCGGAAGGAUCAUUGUACACACAAUCAAAAAUGUUGACGAAUCUCUCUCGUCCUCCUCCUUGGAUACGUUUCAAGGAGAGGGACGAGGAAACCACUUCAAAACUAUCAAAAAUGUACCCACGAAAGGAACGGCAAGCUUUAGAACCCGAGGGGAUUGCACUGUAGAGGUGCGAUCGUCGAUUAGUGAUUCCGGGACUCGCAGGCCUCCUCUGCUUAGGGAGAGGUGCUUGGGAGUGCCACCGCGGGUGCGUCGCGGGUGUGUUUCCAUGGUCGUCGGGGCGUCCCGCUCGCACCACUCCCGGACAACGUCUCCCAUCCUCUCCCUCCUAGAGGGAGGCGGGAGUAUGCUUGUCGGGAGUAGGAUGUUUCCUCCCCUCCUCUCGGGAGCACCUUUCCCUCCGGGUCGCCCGGAGAGCGGGAUCCCGAGAGCGUCCCGGCUUGUCUUUCCGUGGGUGCAGAAUCAGCCAAACAUCCAACCUGGAAAGCCAGGCGAGAAUUCAUCUACACAUGGACUUUCAGCAACGGAUAUCUUGGCUCUUGCAACGAUGAAGAACGCAGCGGAAUGCGAUACCUAGUGUGAAUUGCAGAAUUCCGCGAAUCAUCGAGUUUUUGAACGCAAGUUGCGCCCGAGGCUCUUACCGAGGGCAUGUCUGUCUGAGCGUCCUUGGGGUCCCGCCCAUCCAUCCACCUCGUCGUGCUGGCGAGGAUUCAUAAGAUGGGCGCCGGGAUGGCCUAUGCGCGGACCAUCCGUUGGGCUCACUGCCCAAGGGAAAGUGUCCCGCUCGGCUGAAAUCCAUGUCCGUCCUGGAAAUCGGAAGGGACGUUGCGAGAAGGUGCUCUGCUUCGCGAAAGUGGGUGGAUGAUAUCAUCGAUGUCAAUAGCACGCGACGCUCCCUUCCCUCUCGAAAGGAUUCGGAAAACAAACGGGACUCCCGUCAUCGCACGGGGGUUUUUCACGUCCUGGACCUCAGAUCAGGCAAGAUCACCCGCUGAGUUUAAGCAUAUCAUUAAGCGGAGGAAAAGAAACUAACGAGAUUUCCUUAGUAACGGCGA